rnacentral:rRNA from 1 species
GACGAACGCUGGCGGCGUGCCUAAUACAUGCAAGUCGAACGAGAGCGACCGGUGCUUGCACUGGUCAAUCUAGUGGCGAACGGGUGAGUAACACGUGGGUAACCUGCCCAUCAGAGGGGGAUAACAUUCGGAAACGGAUGCUAAAACCGCAUAGGUUCUACAGUCGCAUGACUGAAGAAGGAAAAGAGGCUUCGGCUUCUGCUGAUGGAUGGACCCGCGGUGCAUUAGCUAGUUGGUGAGGUAACGGCUCACCAAGGCCGUGAUGCAUAGCCGACCUGAGAGGGUGAUCGGCCACAUUGGGACUGAGACACGGCCCAAACUCCUACGGGAGGCAGCAGUAGGGAAUCUUCCGCAAUGGACGCAAGUCUGACGGAGCAACGCCGCGUGAGUGAAGAAGGAUUUCGGUUCGUAAAACUCUGUUGUUAGAGAAGAACAGCGCAUAGAGUAACUGUUAUGCGUGUGACGGAUCUACCAGAAGCCC